AUUGAACGCUGGCGGCAUGCUUUACACAUGCCAGUCGAACGGUAACAGGCCGCAAGGUGCUGACGAGUGGCGAACGGGUGAGUAAUGCAUCGGAACGUGCCCAGCCGUGGGGGAUAACUACUCGAAAGAGUAGCUAAUACCGCAUACGAUCUAUGGAUGAAAGCGGGGGACCGUAAGGCCUCGCGCGAUUGGAGCGGCCGAUGUCAGAUUAGGUAGUUGGUGGGGUAAAGGCUCACCAAGCCAACGAUCUGUAGCUGGUCUGAGAGGACGACCAGCCACACUGGGACUGAGACACGGCCCAGACUCCUACGGGAGGCAGCAGUGGGGAAUUUUGGACAAUGGGCGCAAGCCUGAUCCAGCAAUGCCGCGUGCAGGAAGAAGGCCUUCGGGUUGUAAACUGCUUUUGUACGGAACGAAACGGCUCUGGUUAAUACCCGGGGCUAAUGACGGUACCGUAAGAAUAAGCACCGGCUAACUACGUG
rnacentral:rRNA from 1 species